UCUCCUCCCCGUCCCCCACCUCGUCGGCGGCUCUGCCAGAAAACCCAAACCCACCUCACCACCAUAUCUCGCCGCUGUCCAUAUCGAUCCGGACCCCACCCCGUCCACAUCACCUCACCGCCGGAGCCCCGCCGCAGCCUGUCGCCUGGCCUUCCCCCGCGCCGUGCCGGCUUGCUCCGCAGGUUAUAGAACCGGCAGGCUACGCUAACCCUAGCAUCCUCGGCUCGGCUGUAGAAGAGCACUGGGGGCGUGAGAGAGGGAGUCACCAGCCCUCGUGACCUCCUCCCGCUUCUACCUCGCCCCCGACGCUUGCGAAAAUGGGGAUCUAGGGAUACCCCAGCUCACUCCUUCCGUCUGUCAAGCAGGUGUGCCCGAGCAAGCAGCAAUUCCUAAUGAGACACCUCAACGGUGAGAAUUGAGCUAUAGAAAUGUAGUUAUGUUAUAGUCAAUUAUUGUUAUGCCUACCUAUGCAUCACAAACAAACUAAACACUUUUGGUACAAAAUUAUAGGUCUUUUCAGUCCUUGAAAGAUGCUGUUCUUCUCACAAAAUAAAGUACAAUGAAUCGUAAAAGAAAAGGUCAUAACUACAUCUAUUUAAUCAUUUUUUGCCAAUGUUGUAAAUCAUAUUCUCAUCAUGGCACAAAUGCGCUCAUCUUCGUAAUUCUAAGGUUUCGAUCAGAUUUUCUUUUUUUAGUAACUAAGGGUACCUAACAAAGUUUGUUACUUUGGAACUAACAGUAAAUAUAGCACUUCAACUCUUAUACUUUUCAUAUCCCCUCACAAAUCAUCCUUGCACUUUGCUUUCGAUAUUGGAAAAUCAUCUGAACAGUUUUGGCUACAUCUGACUGGUAAAUAAGAUAUAGUUAGCUACGGAAAUUAUUUGGUUGUCUGUUAUUAGUUUUGUAAAUUUUGUUUCCCAUCACAACAUGAUCCCUGCUGUUUCAUUUAUCUCUGUUCAGCCAAGUGGACCAGGGAUAACCAACAUUUAAGUAAGAGAAAGUUGCACAUACCAAAUUUUUGUGUAGUUGGGUACACAAUGCUCUGACUUAAGCUUACUAGAAAUUCCAUCAAUUCUUUUCUUUAUUAAAAUAAAAAAUAUUUCAAAAAUAUAUUUGGACGUAUCUUGCAGCUCUUUGUGAUACUCAAUGUUUUGAAGUGUCCAGGAUAGCAAAAAUAUUACAUCUCUACUUCAAUUUGUGAUACUCAAUGUUUUGAAGUGUCCAGGUCAGCAAAAAUAUUACAUCUCUACCUCAGUUUGUGAUACUCAGAUUUGAAGUGCCCUAUGUCAAAUUAGUAUAUAAUAUGAUCUUAGCAUACUAAAAUUUCAUAAGAUACGAAGGUAAAAUCAGUUUACUUUAAGGAUUACUCAAUUAUUUUUUUUCAUUAGAAUUCUCAUUUCAAACAUGAUAAGUUUGGUUCUUUUCUCACUUCCUCUCCUAUUUUUUGUAGUUUUCUAUUCUCCAGCACUACCAGAUUAUUUGUUUAAAACAUUGGAUAUGGAAUGUUGCUUGAGGAACCCUACAGCGCAGCAACCAUUUGUAGCUGUGCACCUUUAUUCUUAUUCAUUAUUAAAUUAAGAGAUUAUGGAUUUUUUACAUAUCUUUUUUUGCAGACUUUUACCCUAUGAAUUGCAAUUCCAAAGAGCCAGAACAAUGAACAGGUUCUUUUUUUCUAGGAAUUUUAGGUGCAGCCAUGAAAUUGCUGCUCAUGCAAGUUCUUUGGUUUUAAGAAGUGAGGUGGUAAUGUUGGUUUUUUUCAAUAUUCUAAAUGAUUACAGAUCUGAUACAAUGAUAUAAUUUUUUAUCUCCAGUUAUUUCCUUAGCAAACUUAUCAAUAUCGUCUCAUGCCAUAAUAUGUUUUCUCUUCAACAAAUCGAGUACUAAUUCAUUUUCAAGUAUCAGUUCAAAAGGAGGCCGACCACCUAUGAAUGGCAUCCUGCAGAGCCCCCUACUUAUGCCGUUAUUUACGCUUUAAUUAUUUAUAUUUGUAAUUGACCUAUCUUUGUUUCGUCUUUACGAUGAAUGAUUGCAAUGCUUGGCAAGAUCUUUGAGUUCUAUGGCGGUUGCCACUUGAUACCUA